UACAGAGGUCUCAAGCGUUGUUCGGAUUCAUUGGGCGUAAAGGGUGUGUAGGUGGCGCCGUAAGUCGGGUGUGAAAUCUCGGGGCUUAACUCCGAAACUGCAUUCGAUACUGCGGUGCUUGAGGACUGGAGAGGAGACUGGAAUUUACGGUGUAGCAGUGAAAUGCGUAGAGAUCGUAAGGAAGACCAGUGGCGAAGGCGGGUCUCUGGACAGUUCCUGACACUGAGGCACGAAGGCCAGGGGAGCAAACGGG
rnacentral:rRNA from 1 species